UGGGGAAUAUUGCACAAUGGGGGAAACCCUGAUGCAGCGACGCCGCGUGAGCGAAGAAGUAUUUCGGUAUGUAAAGCUCUAUCAGCAGGGAAGAAGAAAUGACGGUACCUGACUAAGAAGCCCCGGCUAACUACGUGCCAGCAGCCGCGGUAAUACGUAGGGGGCAAGCGUUAUCCGGAUUUACUGGGUGUAAAGGGAGCGUAGGCGGCAUGGCAAGUCUGAUGUGAAAACCCAGGGCUCAACCCUGGGACUGCAUUGGAAACUGUCAAGCUGGAGUGUCGGAGAGGUAAGCGGAAUUCCUAGUGUAGCGGUGAAAUGCGUAGAUAUUAGGAGGAACACCAGUGGCGAAGGCGGCUUACUGGACGAUGACUGACGCUGAGGCUCGAAAGCGUGGGGAGCAAACAGG
rnacentral:rRNA from 1 species